UACGAAGGGGGCUAGCGUUGUUCGGAUUUACUGGGCGUAAAGCGCACGUAGGCGGAUCGUUAAGUCGGGGGUGAAAUCCUGGAGCUCAACUCCAGAACUGCCUUCGAUACUGGCGAUCUUGAGUCCGGAAGAGGUGAGUGGAACUCCUAGUGUAGAGGUGGAAUUCGUAGAUAUUUAGGAAGAACACCAGUGGCGAAGGCGGCUCACUGGUCCGGUACUGACGCUGAGGUGCGAAAGCGUGGGGGAGCAAACAGG
rnacentral:rRNA from 1 species